GACAGAGGCCCCAAGCGUUAGGCGGAAUCACUGGGCUUAAAGCGUGUGUAGGCGGACGCCUAAGUGUCUUGUGAAAUCCCACGGCUCACCCGUGGAACUGCUGGGCAUACUGGGCGUCUUGGGCCAACUAGGGGCAGCCGGAACAAGCGGUGGAGCGGUGAAAUGCGUAGAUAUCGCUUGGAACGCCGAAGGUGAAAAACAGGCUGCUGGGGGUUGUGCCUGACGCUGAGACACGAAAGCCAGGGGAGCAAACGGG
rnacentral:rRNA from 1 species